rnacentral:rRNA from 1 species
GUCGAGGGAGAUUGUUGGAUUCGUCUGACAUGAAACCGGCGCACGGGUGCGUAACACGUAUGCAACCUACCUUUAACUGGGGUAUAGCUCAGAGAAAUCUGAAUUAAUCCCCCAUAAGACUACGACAUGGCAUCAUGAUGUAGUUAAAGCUACGGCGGUUAAGGAUGGGCAUGCGGUGCAUUAGCUAGUUGGUGAGGUAAUGGCUCACCAAGGCUACGAUGUAUAGGGGGUCUGAGAGGAUGAUCCCCCACACUGGUACUGAGACACGGACCAGACUCCUACGGGAGGCAGCAGUAGGGAAUAUUGGUCAAUGGACGCAAGUCUGAACCAGCCAUGCCGCGUGAAGGAUGAAGGCCCUAUGGGUCGUAAACUUCUUUUAUUAGGGAAGAAAAAAUGGGAUGCGUCCUAUACUGACGGUACUUAAUGAAUAAGGAUCGGCUAACUUCGUGCCAGCAGCCGCGGUAAGACGAAGGAUCCAAGCGUUGUCCGGAUUUACUGGGUUUAAAGG